rnacentral:tRNA from 1 species
GCUCCCGUGGCCUAAUGGAUAAGGCGUUGGUCUCCUAGAUUAGCUGUCACAAAGCGGAGUGAACCAACGAUGGGGGUUCAAGUCCCCCCGGGAGCC